CCUACGGGUGGCAGCAGUGAGGAAUAUUGGUCAAUGGACGAGAGUCUGAACCAGCCAAGUAGCGUGAAGGAUGACUGCCCUCUGGGUUGUAAACUUCUUUUAUAUGGGAAUAAAAUGUUCCACGUGUGGGAUUUUGUAUGUACCAUAUGAAUAAGGAUCGGCUAACUCCGUGCCAGCAGCCGCGGUAAUCCGGAGGAUCCGAGCGUUAUCCGGAUUUAUUGGGUUUAAAGGGAGCGUAGGUGGAUUGUUAAGUCAGUUGUGAAAGUUUGCGGCUCAACCGUAAAAUUGCAGUUGAAACUGGAAGGCUGGAGUACAGUAGAGGUGGGCGGAAUUCGUGGUGUAGCGGUGAAAUGCUUAGAUAUCACGAAGAACUCCGAUUGCGAAGGCAGUUCACUGGACUGCAACUGACACUGAGGCUCGAAAGUGUGGGUAUCAAACAGGAUUAGAUACCCGUGUAGUC
rnacentral:rRNA from 1 species